AGGACGAACGCUGGCGGCGUGCUUAACACAUGCAAGUGGAGCGACGAACCGGGGCUUGCCCCGGGGCAGAGCCGCGAACGGGUGAGUAACACGUGGGUUACCUGCCUUGAUGACCGGGACAACCCGAGGAAACUCGGGCUAAUACCGGAUGUGCCCGCAAGGGGAAAGGAAGCUUCGGCCUCCGCAUCAAGAUGGGCCCGCGGCCCAUUAGCUUGUUGGUGAGGUAACGGCUCACCAAGGCUUCGAUGGGUAGCUGGUCUGAGAGGACGAUCAGCCACACUGGGACUGAGACACGGCCCAGACUCCUACGGGAGGCAGCAGUGGGAAUCUUGCGCAAUGCGCGAAAGCGUGACGCAGCAACGCCGCGUGGGGGAAGAAGGCUUUCGGGUUGUAAACCCCUUUCAGUUGGGACGAAGCUUCUUCGGUGAAUAGCCGAACGGAGUGACGGUACCUUCACAAGAAGCACCGGCUAACUACGUGCCAGCAGCCGC
rnacentral:rRNA from 1 species